rnacentral:rRNA from 1 species
CAGUCGCGCGGGAAUACAGAGGGUGCGAGCGUUAAUCGGAUUUACUGGGCGUAAAGCGUGCGUAGGCGGCUUCUUAAGUCGGAUGUGAAAUCCCUGAGCUUAACUUAGGAAUUGCAUUCGAUACUGGGAAGCUAGAGUAUGGGAGAGGAUGGUAGAAUUCCAGGUGUAGCGGUGAAAUGCGUAGAGAUCUGGAGGAAUACCGAUGGCGAAGGCAGCCAUCUGGCCUAAUACUGACGCUGAGGUACGAAAGCAUGGGGAGCAAACAGGAUUAGAUACCCCAGUAGUCCCUGUCUCUUAUACA